UACGAAGGGGGCUAGCGUUGCUCGGAAUCACUGGGCGUAAAGGGUGCGUAGGCGGGGCUUUAAGUCAGGGGUGAAAUCCUGGAGCUCAACUCCAGAACUGCCUUUGAUACUGAAGAUCUUGAGUUCGGGAGAGGUGAGUGGAACUGCGAGUGUAGAGGUGAAAUUCGUAGAUAUUCGCAAGAACACCAGUGGCGAAGGCGGCUCACUGGCCCGAUACUGACGCUGAGGCACGAAAGCGUGUGGAGCAAACAGG
rnacentral:rRNA from 1 species